CGGACGGGUGAGUAACGCGUGGGUAACCUGCCUUAUACAGGGGGAUAACAGUUAGAAAUGACUGCUAAUACCGCAUAAGCGCACGGUCUCGCAUGAGAUAGUGUGAAAAACUCCGGUGGUAUAAGAUGGACCCGCGUCUGAUUAGCUAGUUGGUGGGGUAACGGCUCACCAAGGCGACGAUCAGUAGCCGACCUGAGAGGGUGACCGGCCACAUUGGGACUGAGACACGGCCCAA
rnacentral:rRNA from 1 species